rnacentral:rRNA from 1 species
AAGGAUUUAUGACCAGACUUUUUCUAAGCGGAUCAUCCGGUGUUCUCACCGGUGCACUUCGUUUAGUUUAGGCCAGCAUCGAUUUUCGGGGCAGGAUAAAAGCUUCAGGAAUGUGGCUCCUUUCGGGGAGUGUUAUAGCCUUUUGUAUAAUACCGCCCUGGGGAUCGAGGUACGCGCUUCUGCAAGGAUGCUGGCGUAAUGGUUAUCAAUCA